UGGCUGUGGUGUAAGCUGUGCAAUGAGCAUAUUUUAUAUUCUCUUUAGAUAUAGUGCAAACGAUGGAAAUUGAUCCCUGCAAGCACUUCUUCCCGAUGGUGGUGUUGGAGCCCACGAGUCUUUGGGCCUGAUGCUUUUCUCAAAGACGUGUCACUACUUCAGUGGAGUGUGUCCUCACGAGACCAUGAGGACAGCAAAGAAGCGAAUUCUGUUUUUUGCAUAUGAGAGACCUUUCCCCUGAUCACCUGUAAAACAACAGAUUUGAAUAUCCAUUUUCUGACAUCGAGAGGAUGGCUGUGUUAAAAUUAAAAGUUAUCACAGAACAGGAAAGACAGCAAAGGAAUAAGGUACUUUCCAUAAACUUGUGAUCUUUUUCUUAGCCCCAGCUGAACAUAGCAUUUUAGAAUCCAAGAUUUAUCAUCAUUGGAAACAAGGAGCUGUCUCAUUUCACUGGCACGAGAGGAAAGGUCUUAGUCACAAAAUGCUGUAGAGAUCAUUUCUAUUGUUUCUGUGGUUUCUGGGCAGGUAUAAAAGAAGGUGAAAGACACCCGCUGUCAUUGCAACUGGAACGUCAGUAGAAAACUAGCAAGGAGACACAUCUGUGCCGCUCAGGACUUCACCGUGAUCUCUAGAAGAUCGACAAUUUAAAGAAGAAGAGAGAAAAUGUUCCUGCCUCAGAGAUCUCUGAAGAUGGUUACAUUUUUGGCACUUCUUUUUCUUUCCUCUUUUGCAACAUCUCAAGACACUGAAAAUAAAAGAGCAGUGACGGAGCAUCAGCUCAUGCAUGACAAAGGGAGGGCAUUUCAAGGGCUGAAGCGCCUGACCUGGCUCCACAAUGCCCUGGGUAGUGUGCACACAGCCAGCAGCAGGGAUAUUUCGCUUUCAAAUGCCAUGGGGGAUUCUCAGAAGAGCCGAGAUCCCUCAGAUCUCCACAACAGCAUCAGCAGAGCCGAGACUUCAAGCCUGAUGAAGCAGCUGCUGGACGCGAUGGAAAAAGAGCAAGGCUUCAUCCUGUUAAAGAAGCCAGAUUUACUGCAAUAUAUGAAGACCCCAAAGGGUAACUGGAACCCACAAGACCUUUUGGACCUCCUUCAAAUCAAAGAGCUGGGCAGCAAGAGAAAUCCUAGCGCCCAGCCAGCAAACUUUUCACACUAGUCUGAAUCCAGCUCAGUCUGUCCAUCGCUUUAGGCGUGCGAUGUUGUGAGGAAAAGCUCUAAUGCAAGGGUGAAACACAAAAGAAAAAUAACGUUCAUUUGUUCCGUUAACUACUCCUAGAUGCUGAAUAGAGAGAGCCUCAUAAGGACCUAAGUUCUCUCCCUAACAGGCAGUCUGAAUAGUGUGACUGUGAGAUGGGGUGAUUUUUCACAGGCCAGAAAUAUCUCUUUCCAUGACAGGGUCUUCCCUGUCUGUUACUGGUAUCUUAAGGUUGUGACAGCUCUUUGCAGCUCUUGUAGUCCAGGCAUAACAGGAAGUUUGGUUCAUGAAUCUGCAUAUUCACAGGUUCAUUUGCAGUCUAAUGUUUUGCCUCCUAAAGAAGCAGUGACUGCUAAUACAGAUUUUCUUCUAUUUCCAUCCUGCCUGCCAUUCUGCCACUUUCUGCAGUAGUAAUAACUUUACUUAGGCUUUAGGCCCUAAGGUUCAUAAUUUUCCUGCUUUUUAAGCAUCUAGAAUGUUUUAGGAAGUCUCUCAUCUCUCGGUUUUUCCUUUAGGACGGUGGCAAACUUUCAUCAGGCCACAGAGGUAGAAAUUGGCAGCUGAUCCCCACCACUCCCAGCCUAAGCCCUAGACAGUCAUCUUGUUCUGCUGAUGGAAGAGUGAUGAGAAUCAGCUUCCAGCCUCCAUACUCGAGCCUUUUGUGUCAAGACGUCCUAUCUUUUCCUUUUUCCCAUGAAACUCUCUCGAAGAGCUCCCAAAGCAUACCACAUUUUCUAGGUGGAAAACCAACUUCAUGAGGCCAUUUGUGUUUCCUGAAAGAGAAAUAGAUGCCACAAGAUUUUGUUUUGCUAUUCUCCUUUAACGUCAAACUGGCCAGCUCUGUCUUGCAAAGCAAGGUCCAGUUUAGUUGCAAAAUCAGUCUUUCAGAAAUGAAAUAUCUAUUUCUUGUGUUACAAAUACAUCAGCAUUUCCAUCAUGUAGGGACCGUACAUGACACUUUCAUUCCUGAAAUUCCUCUGCUGCUGCUAGACUUCAAUAGCAUGUGCAGAGAGUAUUUCUCAGUGCUGUGAUUUAUACCCAACAAGUCCUUGAUGUUGUUAAAGAAAUAAUAAUAAAAACCCUUUCACACUCUCUAUUGUACUUGUU
rnacentral:lncRNA from 1 species